UAACAAUAUCCAUUUUACAUAAAUGGAUAUUGUUAAUUUUUUCAUACAAUUCAAGUGUCAAUAUUGAGGUUGGUUUGGUCAGCAAUCGCACUACCAUACCACCACUUAGAGUGAAGCUGAAUGUUUCAACUAUAUAUCCAUUAACGCUACUUUAAGACAACUAUUUUAACCAAUAGCUAUCUGUUUUAACUUUAAAUUAUUGUAACCUUUUCUUUAUUACUUUAGCUAAUCAUUCAAACUGUUUUGUAAUUACUUUUGAAUAUAUAUUUUUACUACCUAUUCAUUACUUUUACCUAAACCUUUGUGCUCACCUGCUCACUAGUCUUCACACACUCUUACAUAGCGACAAGAUGCCGGUGUUACAGUUGACCUUGUGUUAAU